rnacentral:rRNA from 1 species
AGAGUUUGAUCCUGGCUCAGGACGAACGCUGGCGGCACGCUUAACACAUGCAAGUCGAACGAGAGAAGAGGAGCUUGCUUUUCUGAUCUAGUGGCGGACGGGUGAGUAACACGUGAGCAAUCUGCCUUUCAGAGGGGGAUACCGAUUGGAAUCGAUCGUUAAUACCGCAUAACAUAAUUGAACCGCAUGAUUUGAUUAUCAAAGAUUUAUCGCUGAAAGAUGAGCUCGCGUCUGAUUAGCUAGUUGGUAAGGUAACGGCUUACCAAGGCGACGAUCAGUAGCCGGACUGAGAGGUUGAUCGGCCACAUUGGGACUGAGACACGGCCCAGACUCCUACGGGAGGCAGCAGUGGGGAAUAUUGCACAAUGGAGGAAACUCUGAUGCAGCGAUGCCGCGUGAGGGAAGAAGGUUUUAGGAUUGUAAACCUCUGUCUUCAGGGACGAAAAAAGACGGUACCUGAGGAGGAAGCUCCGGCUAACUACGUGCCAGCAGCCGCGGUAAUACGUAGGGAGCGAGCGUUGUCCGGAAUUACUGGGUGUAAAGGGAGCGUAGGCGGGAUCGCAAGUCAGAUGUGAAAACUAUGGGCUUAACCCAUAAACUGCAUUUGAAACUGUGGUUCUUGAGUGAAGUAGAGGUAAGCGGAAUUCCUAGUGUAGCGGUGAAAUGCGUAGAUAUUAGGAGGAACAUCAGUGGCGAAGGCGGCUUACUGGGCUUUAACUGACGCUGAGGCUCGAAAGCGUGGGGAGCAAACAGGAUUAGAUACCCUGGUAGUCCACGCCGUAAACGAUGAUUACUAGGUGUGGGGGGACUGACCCCUUCCGUGCCGCAGCAAACGCAAUAAGUAAUCCACCUGGGGAGUACGACCGCAAGGUUGAAACUCAAAGGAAUUGACGGGGGCCCGCACAAGCAGUGGAGUAUGUGGAUUAAUUCGAAGCAACGCGAAGAACCUUACCAGGUCUUGACAUCGUAUGCAUAGCUCAGAGAUGAGUGAAAUCUCUUCGGAGACAUAUAGACAGGUGGUGCAUGGUUGUCGUCAGCUCGUGUCGUGAGAUGUUGGGUUAAGUCCCGCAACGAGCGCAACCCUUACUGUUAGUUGCUACGCAAGAGCACUCUAGCAGGACUGCCGUUGACAAAACGGAGGAAGGUGGGGAUGACGUCAAAUCAUCAUGCCCCUUAUGACCUGGGCCUCACACGUACUACAAUGGCUGUCAACAGAGGGAAGCAAAGCCGCGAGGUGGAGCGAACCCCUAAAAGCAGUCUUAGUUCGGAUUGUAGACUGCAACCCGCCUACAUGAAGUCGGAAUUGCUAGUAAUCGCAGAUCAGCAUGCUGCGGUGAAUACGUUCCCGGGCCUUGUACACACCGCCCGUCACGCCAUGGGAGUCGGUAACACCCGAAGCCUGUAGUCUAACCGCAAGGAGGACGCAGUCGAAGGUGGGAUUGAUGACUGGGGUGAAGUCGGAACAAGGUA